AUUGAACGCUGGCGGCAGGCCUAACACAUGCAAGUCGAACGAGUGGCGUACGGGUGAGUAAUGUCUGGGAAACUGCCUGAUGGAGGGGGAUAACUACUGGAACCGGUAGCUAAUACCGCAUACCAUCGGAUGUGCCCAGAUGGGAUUAGCUAGUUGGUGGGGUAAAGGCUCACCAAGGCGACGAUCCCUAGCUGGUCUGAGAGGAUGACCAGCCACACGGGAAAUGAGACACGGGCCAGACUCCUACGGGAGGCAGCAGUGGGGAAUAUUGGACAAUGGGCGCAAGCCUGAUGCAGCCAGGCCGCGUGGAUGAAGAAGGCCUUCGGGUUGUAAAGUACUUUAAGCGGGGAGGCGUUAACCGCAGAAGAAGCACCGGCUAACUCCGUGCCAGCCGCCGCGGUAAUAC
rnacentral:rRNA from 1 species